rnacentral:rRNA from 1 species
UACGGGGGGGGCAAGCGUUGUUCGGAAUUACUGGGCGUAAAGGGCUCGUAGGCGGCCAACUAAGUCAGACGUGAAAUCCCCAGGCUCAACCUGGGAACUGCGUCUGAUACUGGAUGGCUUGAAUCCGGGAGAGGGAUGCAGAAUUCCAGGUGUAGCGGUGAAAUGCGUAGAUAUCGAGAGGAACACCGGUGGCGAAGGCGGCCAACUGGACGAAUACUGACGCUGAGGCACGAAAGCGUGGGGAGCAAACAGG